CCUACGGGAGGCAGCAGUGGGGAAUAUUGCACAAUGGGCGAAAGCCUGAUGCAGCGACGCCGCGUGAGUGAAGAAGUAUUUCGGUAUGUAAAGCUCUAUCAGCAGGGAAGAAAAUGACGGUACCUGACUAAGAAGCCCCGGCUAACUACGUGC
rnacentral:rRNA from 1 species